CCGGGCUCCCGCACGCAGGCUGGUCUUCCACGCGCAGCUGGCGCACGGUAGUGCCACGGGCCGAGUGGAGGGCUUCUCCAGCAUCCAGGAGCUCUACGCCCAGAUCGCGGGCGCGUUUGAAAUCUCGCCGUCGGAGAUGGAGUCUAGCUCUGUCGCCCAGGUUGAAGUGCAACGGUGUGAUCGUGGCUCACUGCAACCUCCGCCUUCUGUGUUCAAGUGAUCCUCCUGCCUCAGCCUCCUGAAUAGCUGGGAUUACAGGCACACGCCAUCAUGCCUGGAUAAUUUUUGUGUUUUUGUAGAGAUGGGGUUUCACCAUGUUGGCCAGGCUGGUCUCAAACUCCUGACCUCAGGUGAUCCGCCCACCUCGGCCUCCCAAAGUGAGCUGGGAUUACCGACGUGAGCUACUGCACCUGGCCGGUUCCAAGUCUAUUACAUAGCAGCUGUGAGAUUCUUGGUAGCUGCAUUCAAAUUCUAAACACUAACCUGGAAAAACGUCUUUUGUAAACAAAUUUUUUUUUUCAAUAAAAGCCUCAGACUUAACCACAAAAAUAUUUAUUGCCUCAAAAAGAUGUUGAUGUGAGACUGACAGUUGUGGACUUCAGCUAGUGUUUUGUGGUCCCUGAAGGAAUAAGCUAAUGAAGGCUGUGAAUCAGUUAAGAUUUGUUAUUAAGUUGAGACAGAUGGCCAGUUAUGCAAAAAUCCCUCAUAUCUGAUGCCUUUUUUCAAAACAAUUAAAUGAACAAUUCAGUAAAAAGAAAAAAAACCCUGUAAAUUAAUCUCAUCUAAAGAACAAUUAACU
rnacentral:lncRNA from 1 species